UACGUAGGUGGCAAGCGUUACUCGGAAUCACUAGGCGUAAAGCGCAGGUAGGUGGCUUGAUAAGUCUAUUGUGAAAGCUCCUGGCUCAACUGGGAGAGGUCAAUGGAUACUGUUAGGCUUGAGUGUGGUAGGGGAAACUGGAAUUCCUGGUGUAGCGGUGAAAUGCGUAGAUAUCAGGAGGAACACCUAAGGCGAAAGCAGGUUUCUGGGCCAACACUGACACUGAGCUGCGAAAGCUAGGGGAGCAAACAGG
rnacentral:rRNA from 1 species